UGCGGCGUGCCUAACACAUGCAAGUCGAACGGAGCUCUUAAGGAAUGCGACUUCGGUCAAAUGACUUUUGAACUUAGUGGCGGACGGGUGAGUAACGCGUGAGCAACCUGCCUUUCAGAGGGGGAUAACAUUUGGAAACAGAUGCUAAUACCGCAUAAGAUUACAGUACCGCAUGAUACAGUGAUCAAAGGAGCAAUCCGCUGAAAGAUGGGCUCGCGUCCGAUUAGAUAGUUGGUGAGGUAACGGCUCACCAAGUCGACGAUCGGUAGCCGGACUGAGAGGUUGAACGGCCACAUUGGGACUGAGACACGGCCCAGACUCCUACGGGAGGCAGCAGUGGGGAAUAUUGCACAAUGGGCGAAAGCCUGAUGCAGCAACGCCGCGUGAGGGAAGACGGUUUUCGGAUUGUAAACCUCUGUUCUCGGUGACGAACAAAUGACGGUAACCGAGUAGGAAGCCACGGCUAACUACGUGCCAGCAGCCGCGGUAAUACGUAGGUGGCAAGCGUUAUCCGGAAUUACUGGGUGUAAAGGGAGCGCAGGCGGGAUAGCAAGUCAGCUGUGAAAACUAUGGGCUCAACCCAUAAACUGCAGUUGAAACUGUUAUUCUUGAGUGGAGUAGAGGCAAGCGGAAUUCCGAGUGUAGCGGUGAAAUGCGUAGAUAUUCGGAGGAACACCAGUGGCGAAGGCGGCUUGCUGGGCUCUAACUGACGCUGAGGCUCGAAAGUGUGGGGAGCAAACAGGAUUAGAUACCCUGGUAGUCCACACUGUAAACGAUGAUUGCUAGGUGUGGGGGGUCUGACCCCCUCCGUGCCGGAGUUAACGCAAUAAGCAAUCCACCUGGGGAGUACGGCCGCAAG
rnacentral:rRNA from 1 species